GGAAGAGGAAGGAGAAGGACGUUGUUGUGGUUUUUUUUUUUCCCCUUGAUUUUGUUCUUCUUUUGUUCUCCUUUCUUCUCUUCUCUCCUCUUCUCUCUUGUUUGCUUGUGAAGAAGAGGAAGGAGA
rnacentral:ribozyme from 13 species